rnacentral:lncRNA from 10 species
AAACAAUCACAUAGCUGGUCACAGUGAAGACUGGUACAUCUUGUCUGGAUAGCAAGUGACAAAAUGUUUCCAAGCCCUAAAGCUGAUUAUCCUCUUUGAUGCAAACAUCUGUAUAUGAUCUAUAAAGGUUCCCUCUCGAAAUAGAGGAGCGUGGCACUUCAAUGAGGAACCAGGUUGGAUCUGGCAACUUUGGCUCACAGUGACAAGGAUGAAGAUGAGACGGACUGCCUUGCAUACCAACAUGAAGGACACCAGGACCAAAGCAGGCCUUUGCUUCACCUCCUCUCCACCCCUUUCUGUGCCCUUGUUCCCAGCUCUCCAUUCUGGGAAUGUGCUUUGAAAUGGGGCCAAGGUGAGAGGGCAUGAGGCCUCCUUGCCACUAGGUCAGAGACUGAGAGGUUUUGAGGAGAAGUUUCCUCUAAUGAAAUGAAAGCUUCAGAAUACUCCAGAUGGAUAGAGUGCCAAAAGAAACUGUCUUUCUUUAGCUGCCUCGGUAGGAGGGACGCUACCAGUGUCAAGCACAGCAGGAACGGGGGAGCCAGGCCUUGGAAGGUGGCCAUUCAUGGUUUUGGGACUGGGUGCAGCUGUUUCACAUGGAAAGGGUCAGCUGCUCAGAGCAAUAAUUCUGCAGAGCUUGUAGACAAAUGAAUUCACAAUAUCCUUUACAUCUCUUGGGGUCUCCAGCCCCCUCCAAUCUCCAGGCUCUCUACCUCCCUUCAGUGGCUACUUAUUUUCAGGACUGAGAUGGAGGAUAAACGAGAGCCACACUUGAAGAAACUGCUCCAGACCAAGAAGACACAUUCUGGGAGCAAACUUUAUUCCCAGGUGGUCUUGAUGAGGGAGACUGAGGUGCGCUAUAGGAGUGCCGGUCACCGCACGUCGGAAAUGCCUGUUUCUUUUCUCCGACACAAGUCACGCAGCACUCUUGUGUUCAGCACUUUGCAAAGAGCAAAGCAGAUGUUGGCUGUUGAAGAAUGCAUGCGAGCCUGAAGCCAGCAACACUGCAAUCCACCAAAUGCCUGUGAUGGAAUCCAUAGCUCCUCUGCUCACAAGUUUCCUCACUGACGUCAUUUCAGGGGAAGCCAAAAAUAAAUAGCGGAAUAUGCAGGAAGAGCCCAGACAGGCUGAAGAGGUUGAGUUUUUCAAGCAAACAGCAACAGCGGAGGGACUGUUUCUCUACAAGGAAGGGGGCUCGGGGGAACACGAUCCACACAUGUGAAGCAAACCUUUGCACUUCACAGUAUUUCACCAGGAUACAUUUUCAAGUUAAACCCAGAUGAAUAAUGGUAAAGAAAAAAAAAAAAAGCAAGAAAUAAAGGCCUUCCCUAGCUUCGGUAACCACAGCUGGAGAGACUUUCAUUAAUCACGUAAUUGUGUAUCUGAAGUUUUGCUUGCUGGAAAGAAACCUCAGGCAGGUACCUGCAAUUACCCUGCAGGCGGCCUGCUGAGGGCUCUUUGUCUGCAGUGGGAGGAGGACAUGAGGAAGUGCCCAGCGAUCCUAUGCUGAGGAAUCCUUAUGUUCCUUGCACCUGCAUACACUUAUUGUGGCAAAGCUGCACAUCACAUUUAAAGUACUAAACCCAGGUUUCCCAUACACUAAUGGAAGACGUCAGAUUUGAAAGAACACAGCAAGUCUAAGCACAGAAAUAAAAUGCACAUGAAGAUUUCAGAUUCCG